rnacentral:lncRNA from 1 species
AUGGGGCGGUGCUGCUGCUGGGAGGCACUGAGGGCUGAGCGGGGAGAAAUGGGGCAGAAUUGGGCCGAAAAUGGGGGAAGUUGGGUCGGAAAUGGGGGAAAUUGGGCAAAAAAUGGGGGAAGUUGGGCCGAAAAUGGAGGAAAUUGGGCCAAAAAAUGGAGGAAAUUGGGUCGAAAUGGGGGAAGUUGGGCCGAAAAUGGCCCCAAAAAGGGCAGAAACGACCCCAAAAAGAGGCAGAAACGGCCCCAAAAAAGAGAGAAACUCAAACUGGGGGGAAUUUGGCCCAAAAUUGGCCCCAUAAAGAUGCAGAAACGACCCCAAAAAGGGGCAGAAACGGCCCCAAAAAGGCCAGAAACGGCCCCAAAAAGAGGCAGAAACGACCCCCAAAAAAGAGAGAAACCCAAAUCGGGGGGAAUUUGGCCCAAAAUUGUCCCCCAAAAGUGCAGAAACCCCACAAAAGGGAAGAAACGCCCCCAAAAAGGACAGAAACAGCCCCAAAAAGGGCAGAAACGACCCCAAAAAGAGGCAGCAACGGCCCCAAAAAGGGCAGAAACAGCCCCAAAAAGGGCAGAAACCCAAACUGGGGGGAUUUGGCCCCAUAAAGAUGCAAAAAUGGCCCCAAAAAGAGGCAGAAACAGCUCAAAAAAGAGGCAGAAAUGGCCUCAAAAAGGGCAGAAACGGCCUCAAAAAGGGCAGAAACGGCCCCAAAAAGAGACAGAAACGGCCCCAAAAAGAGACAGAAACGGCCCCAAAAAGAGACAAAACGGCCCCAAAAAAAGAGAGAAACCCAAACUGGGGGGAUUUGGCCCCAUAAAGAUGCAGAAAUGGCCCCAAAAGGGCAGAAACGGCCCCAAACAGGGCAGAAAUGCCCCUAAAAAGAGGCAGAAACAGCCCCAAAAAUGGGCAGAAACGGCCCAAAAAGAGGCAGAAACGGCCCCAAAAAAGAGAGAAAACCAAACUGGGGGGAAUUUGGCCCAAAAUUGGCCCCAAAAAGGGCAGAAACAGCCCCAAAGAGGCAGAAACGGCCCCCAAAAGAAGCAGAAACGGCCCCAAAAAGAGGGAGAAACGACCCCAAAAAGUGGCAGAAACGACCCCAAAAAAAGAGAGAAACCCCAAAUGGGGGGAUUUGGCCCCAUAAAGUUGCAGAAACGACCCCAAAAAGUGCAGAAACGGCCCCAAAAAAAAAAAAGGGCAGAAACGGCCUCAAAAAGGGCAGAAACGGCCCCAAAAAGAGACAGAAACGGCCCCAAAAAGAGACAGAAACGGCCCCAAAAAGAGACAGAAACGACCCCAAAAAAGAGAGAAACCCAAACUGGGGGGAUUUGGCCCCAAACGGCCCCACCUGGGGUGCGGCGGCGCUCCAUCAGGGCGCUGCGCGGCGCCGUGGGUUCGUCCUCGAAGUCGAACUCUGUGGGGACCGGAGCCCUGAGGGCAGAACCACCAAAAUCGGCCUUUUUUCACCCAAAACGGGGGCAGCGUGGCAUUUCCUGA